GAUGAACGCUGGCGGCGUGCCUAACACAUACAAGUCGAGCGAUUCUCUUCGGAGAAGAGCGGCGGACGGGUGAGUAACGCGUGGGUAACCUGCCCUGUACACACGGAUAACAUACCGAAAGGUAUACUAAUACGAGAUAAUAUGCUUUUAUCGCAUGGUAGAAGUAUCAAAGCUUUUGCGGUACAGGAUGGACCCGCGUCUGAUUAGCUAGUUGGUAAGGUACCGGCUUACCAAGGCGACGAUCAGUAGCCGACCUGAGAGGGUGAUCGGCCACAUUGGAACUGAGACACGGUCCAUACACCUACGGGUGGCAGCAGUAGGGAAUAUUAGUAAUGGGCGAAAGCCUGAACUAGCAUCACCGCGUGUGCGAAGAAGGCCUUCGGGUUGUAAAGCACUUUUCGGGAGGACGAGGAAGGACGGUACUCCCGGAAUAAGUCUCGGCUAACUACGUGCCAGCAGCCGCCGUAACAC
rnacentral:rRNA from 1 species